rnacentral:rRNA from 1 species
GAUGAACGCUAGCGGCAGGCAUAAUACAUGCAAGUUGAACGGGAUUCAGAUAGCAAUAUUUGAUGAGAGUGGCGCACGGGUGCGUAACACGUAUGCAACUUACCUUAAACUGGGAGAUAGCCCGUGGAAACAUGGAUUAAUAUCCCAUAGUAUAAAGAACAGGCAUUUGUUUUUUAUUAAAGCUCCGGCGGUUUAAGAUGGGCAUGCGCGUCAUUAGCUAGAUGGAGAGGUAACGGCUCACCAUGGCAACGAUGACUAGGGGGACUGAGAGGAUGUCCCCCCACACUGGUACUGAGACACGGACCAGACUCCUACGGGAGGCAGCAGUAGGGAAUAUUGGGCAAUGGACGCAAGUCUGACCCAGCCAUGCCGCGUGUAGGAAGACGGCCCUCUGGGUUGUAAACUGCUUUUAUCAGGGAAGAAACCCUUCUACGUGUAGGAGGCUGACGGUACCUGAGGAAUAGGAUCGGCUAACUCCGUGCCAGCAGCCG